rnacentral:rRNA from 1 species
CAGCAGCCGCGGGAAUACGAAGGGGGCUAGCGUUGCUCGGAAUUACUGGGCGUAAAGGGCGCGUAGGCGGAUAGUUUAGUCAGAGGUGAAAGCCCAGGGCUCAACCUUGGAACUGCCUUUGAUACUGGCUAUCUUGAGCUCAGGAGAGGUGAGUGGAAUGCCGAGUGUAGAGGUGAAAUUCGUAGAUAUGCGGAGGAACACCGAUGGCGAAGGCAAUCCCCUGGACCUGUACUGACGCUCAUGCACGAAAGCGUGGGGAGCAAACAGGAUUAGAUACCCCCGUAGUCCCUGUCUCUUAUAC